rnacentral:rRNA from 1 species
CCGGUUGAUCCUGCCGGAGACUACUGCUAUUCGGAUUUGACUAAGCCAUGUUAGUUUCGGGUGCUUGCAUCCGGAGCGUACAGCUCAGUAACACGUAGUCAACUUGCCCUCAAGUCUGGAAUAAUCCUGGGAAACUGGGGCUAACGCCGGAUAGAUGAGAAAUACUGGAAUGUUUUUUCUUCCAAAGAUACGCUUGAGGAUAGGACUGCGUUUGAUUAGAUUGUUGCCGGGGUAACUUCCCGACAUGUCGAUAAUCAAUACGGGCCUUGAGAGAGGAAGCCCGGAGAUGGAUUCUGAGACAAGAAUCCAGGUCCUACGGGACGCAUCAGGCGCGAAAAUUCCACAAUGCGCGAAAGCGUUAUGGAGAAAUCCGAAGUGGAUUCGCUAAGCGAAUUCUUUUGCCAAGUGUAAAUAGCUUGGAGAAUAAGGGGUGGGUAAGACAGGUGCCAGCCGCCGCGGUAAUACCUGCGCCCCGAGUGGUAGUCACGUUUAUUGGGUUUAAAGCGUCCGUAGCCGGUUUGUUUAGUCUUUAAUGAAAUCCCACAGUAAACUGUGAGGCUUGUUAGAGAUACUAGCAGACUUGGGACCGGGAGAGGUAAGGAGUACUGUAGGGGUAAGGGUAAAAUCUUAUAAUCCUUACAGGACUACCAGUGGCGAAGGCGCCUUACUAGAACGGAUCCGACGGUGAGGGGCGAAAGCUAGGGGAGCAAAGGGGAUUAGAUACCCCCGUAGUCCUAGCUGUAAACGAUACCCACUAGACGUUGGAGAUCUUACGAGGGUCUUCAGUGUCACAGGGAAACCGCUAAGUGGGUCACCUGGGGAGUACGGCCGCAAGACUGAAACUUAACGGAAUUGGCGGGGGAGCACACAAGGGGUGGAGGCUGCGGUUUAAUUGGAUUCAACGCCGGGAAUCUC